rnacentral:rRNA from 1 species
UACGUAGGGUGCGAGCGUUAAUCGGAAUUACUGGGCGUAAAGGGCGCGUAGGCGGUCAGCACAAGUCAGUUGUGAAAUCUCCGAGCUUAACUCGGAAAGGUCAACUGAUACUGUGCGACUAGAGUGCGGAAGGGGCAACUGGAAUUCUUGGUGUAGCGGUGAAAUGCGUAGAUAUCAAGAGGAACACCUGCGGCGAAGGCGGGUUGCUGGGCCGACACUGACGCUGAAGCGCGAAAGCCAGGGGAGCGAACGGG